UACGUAGGGGGCAAGCGUUGUCCGGAAUCAUUGGGCGUAAAGCGCGUGUAGGCGGUCCGGUAAGUCCGCUGUGAAAGUCGGGGGCUCAACCCUCGAAUGCCGGUGGAUACUGUCGGGCUAGAGUACGGAAGAGGCGAGUGGAAUUCCUGGUGUAGCGGUGAAAUGCGCAGAUAUCAGGAGGAACACCUAUUGCGAAGGCAGCUCGCUGGGACGUAACUGACGCUGAGACGCGAAAGCGUGGGGAGCAAACAGG
rnacentral:rRNA from 1 species